AGGAAGCACCAUAUACAAGGAGUAGGUCCUCCAAGGAUUUCACCAAUUUAGCAUGAUCACCUUUUUCAUCAAACACAAAAGAGGGGAUGACCUUUAGCUCAAAAUAGAGCUCCAAUGUCUGCCAAGAAAUGCCACAAGGAGCCAAGGGCUCGGCUAUAAAUACCAGUCCACCACCUCCUUUCUCACACCUAUCUAAAUUCACAAAUCACAAGAAGUGCAGCAAGAGAAGGAGUGGCGGCGAGCUUAAGGGCAGUCAGGCGUUCGAAGGAGUCAUCGAGAAAGAGGCUAUCCCGCGAGUUAAGGGUGGAGUCAGGAAUAUCCAAGUUAAGGAGUUUUAAGCGAAUGAGGUUGAGCAGUGAUGACGGCAGACGGUGUUGAGCACAGACAAAUGAAGAUCCUUCGAUAGACUAGUACUUGGAUGCGUCGUGUCUCCAUACACGAUGUCAUCUGCUCUUGACUCUUCCGCUGCAAUGUAAAAGUCGAGUUUACAUUCAUUGUAUCAUGCACUCUGAUAUAUUAUUCGAGUUAUUCAGUUUA